rnacentral:rRNA from 1 species
CAGUAGCCGCGGUAAUACGGAGGGUGCAAGCGUUAAUCGGAAUUACUGGGCGUAAAGCGCACGCAGGCGGUCUGACAAGUCAGAUGUGAAAUCCCCGGGCUUAACCUGGGAACUGCAUUUGAAACUGUCAGGCUGGAGUCUUGUAGAGGGGGGUGGAAUUCCAGGUGUAGCGGUGAAAUGCGUAGAGAUCUGGAGGAAUACCGGUGGCGAAGGCGGCCCCCUGGACAAAGACUGACGCUCAGGUGCGAAAGCGUGGGGAGCAAACAGGAUUAGAUACCCGAGUAGUCCUUGUCUCUUAUAA